rnacentral:rRNA from 1 species
AAGCCAGUGGUGAACUCCACAUACGCAUCCUUUGCUGAGGAUACGGUUAACGGAGCGAAAGCGACGUUCAACCGCAAAAGAAGCAGAGGGGGCUUAGUGGUGGGGUGACUGCGUACCUUUUGUAUAAUGGGUCAGCGACUUAUAUUCUGUAGCAAGGUUAACCGUAUAGGGGAGCCGCAGGGAAACCGAGUCUUAAUUGGGCGUUAAGUUGCAGGGUAUAGACCCGAAACCCGGUGAUCUAGCCAUGGGCAGGUUGAAGGUUGGGUAACACUAACUGGAGGACCGAACCGACUAAUGUUGAAAAAUUAGCGGAUGACCUGUGGCUGGGGGUGAAAGGCCAAUCAAACCGGGAGAUAGCUGGUUCUCCCCGAAAGCUAUUUAGGUAGCGCCUCGUGAAUUCAUCUCCGGGGGUAGAGCACUGUUUCGGCUAGGGGGCCAUCCCGGCUUACCAACCCGAUGCAAACUGCGAAUACCGGAGAAUGUUAUCACGGGAGACACACGGCGGGUGCUAACGUCCGUCGUGAAGAGGGAAACAACCCAGACCGCCAGCUAAGGUCCCAAAGUCAUGGUUAAGUGGGAAACGAUGUGGGAAGGCCCAGACAGCCAGGAUGUUGGCUUAGAAGCAGCCAUCAUUUAAAGAAAGCGUAAUAGCUCACUGGUCGAGUCGGCCUGCGCGGAAGAUGUAACGGGGCUAAACCAUGCACCGAAGCUGCGGCAGCGACGCUUAUGCGUUGCUGGGUAGGGGAGCGUUCUGUAAGCCUGCGAAGGUGGCCUGUGAGGGUUGCUGGAGGUAUCAGAAGUGCGAAUGCUGACAUAAGUAACGAUAAAGCGGGUGAAAAGCCCGCUCGCCGGAAGACCAAGGGUUCCUGUCCAACGUUAAUCGGGGCAGGGUGAGUCGACCCCUAAGGCGAGGCCGAAAGGCGUAGUCGAUGGGAAACGGGUUAAUAUUCCCGUACUUGGUGUUACUGCGAAGGGGGGACGGAGAAGGCUAUGUUGGCCGGGCGACGGUUGUCCCGGUUUAAGCGUGUAGGUGUGUGUUCCAGGUAAAUCCGGUUCACUUUAACACUGAGGCGUGACGACGAGGCACUACGGUGCUGAAGCAACAAAUGCCCUGCUUCCAGGAAAAGCCUCUAAGCAUCAGGUAACAUCAAAUCGUACCCCAAACCGACACAGGUGGUCAGGUAGAGAAUACCAAGGCGCUUGAGAGAACUCGGGUGAAGGAACUAGGCAAAAUGGUGCCGUAACUUCGGGAGAAGGCACGCUGACACGUAGGUGAAGUGAUUUACUCAUGGAGCUGAAGUCAGUCGAAGAUACCAGCUGGCUGCAACUGUUUAUUAAAAACACAGCACUGUGCAAACACGAAAGUGGACGUAUACGGUGUGACGCCUGCCCGGUGCCGGAAGGUUAAUUGAUGGGGUCAGCGCAAGCGAAGCUCCUGAUCGAAGCCCCGGUAAACGGCGGCCGUAACUAUAACGGUCCUAAGGUAGCGAAAUUCCUUGUCGGGUAAGUUCCGACCUGCACGAAUGGCGUAAUGAUGGCCAGGCUGUCUCCACCCGAGACUCAGUGAAAUUGAACUCGCUGUGAAGAUGCAGUGUACCCGCGGCAAGACGGAAAGACCCCGUGAACCUUUACUAUAGCUUGACACUGAACACUGGUCCUUGAUGUGUAGGAUAGGUGGGAGGCUUUGAAGUGUGGACGCCAGUCUGCAUGGAGCCAUCCUUGAAAUACCACCCUUUAAUGGCUGGUGUUCUAACGUAGACCCGUAAUCCGGGUUGCGGACAGUGUCUGGUGGGUAGUUUGACUGGGGCGGUCUCCUCCUAAAGAGUAACGGAGGAGCACGAAGGUUGGCUAAUCCUGGUCGGACAUCAGGAGGUUAGUGCAAUGGCAUAAGCCAGCUUGACUGCGAGCGUGACGGCGCGAGCAGGUGCGAAAGCAGGUCAUAGUGAUCCGGUGGUUCUGAAUGGAAGGGCCAUCGCUCAACGGAUAAAAGGUACUCCGGGGAUAACAGGCUGAUACCGCCCAAGAGUUCAUAUCGACGGCGGUGUUUGGCACCUCGAUGUCGGCUCAUCACAUCCUGGGGCUGAAGUAGGUCCCAAGGGUAUGGCUGUUCGCCAUUUAAAGUGGUACGCGAGCUGGGUUUAGAACGUCGUGAGACAGUUCGGUCCCUAUCUGCCGUGGGCGCUGGAGAACUGAGGGGGGCUGCUCCUAGUACGAGAGGACCGGAGUGGACGCAUCACUGGUGUUCGGGUUGUCAUGCCAAUGGCACUGCCCGGUAGCUAAAUGCGGAAGAGAUAAGUGCUGAAAGCAUCUAAGCACGAAACUUGCCCCGAGAUGAGUUCUCCCUGAGACUUAGAGUCUCCUGAAGGAACGUUGAAGACGACGACGUUGAUAGGCCGGGUGUGUAAGCGCAGCGAUGCGUUGAGCUAACCGGUACUAAUGAACCGUGAGGCUUAACC